GGUUGUGUGGCUGAGUGGUAAAAUGUGUGUUUGUUAUUUUUGUUUUUGCAAGGUCGUGGGUUCGAUUCCAGUAGCGGCUU